GAGAUUCUCUCUGUCUCUCUCUCUCUCUCCCUCCUCUGCCCCUCCCACCAUGUACACUCCCUCCCUCCCUCUCUCUCUCUCUCAAAAAAAAAAAAAAAAAUUUCCUGUACAGGUCUUUUCAGAAGACUCCCCUGUCCCACCUUGGACCUCUCUCAUUUACUAGACACCCAUAUAGUCAGGCUCAGAGACCGGUACAAACUAUUUAUCUCCCAUUUUCUCCCAGCAGAAACAGGCUCCUCAGAGCGUCCUUCCCAGACUUGCCUGCUGUCCUCCUGCGGCCAUGUGCUUCCUCCUCUUCUUCCCUUUACACAGAUGCCUCCACUCCUACUUCCUAUGUGCCCUUUUCUUACUCUCCAAGCCCCCCCACAUUUUCCUUGUCUACACCGUGCUGCCUUUCUGCCCAGCUGGAAGGGCCUCCGGGGAGGCGGCGUAGAUCAACAGGAACGGUCUGGCCAAACCGGCGUUAGGAAGCACACCUGCCCUGCUCCAGUCCGGCUCUGGCCCUCUCUGGCUGGAGUCAGCGGGUCAGGGAGCCUUCUAGAAGCCAGCCUGUUAAGCUUUCGUGCCCAUCUCCAUCACUUGGGGAUCUUGCUAAAAUGCUGGUUCUGCAGGUUGAAAGAUGCAGCUGGUCCUCGGAGCACACCCGGAGCGGCAGAGACGCACAUCGGAACCACGGGGUGAGGCAGCCACUAGCUGGUGGGACCCCGAGGUGCAGAGAAGUGAGGUAAUCUUGCUGAAGGACAGCACCUUCCUUACUGACAGAGCUGAGGUUCAAACCCAGCUUCCCUUCCUUCCAAAGCCCGUGCUCUUUCCUGCCAUCACGUGCCUCUCACAUGCCUUUGUUCUGAAAGUGCACCUGAGCCUGUGAGGAGCUUCUGAGACCCGUGCUGUGAUGGCAGAGCAGGCCUUCCCAGCGCCCUGCAUCCUCUUCGACCUCUUCUCCAGCCUCCAGCCGCCUUUUUCGGGCCCUCUCCCUGUGCUCCGUCCAGCCGUGCUGAGCAUUUUUCCCAUCCGGCCAAGCCAGCGCCUUCUCCAGAACCUCACGCACGUGCCCAGAGCCAGAUUUUCCCAGGGCUGGCUGCUGGCUCGAAUGUUCCUGCCAAAGUGGCCCUCACCGACCACUCUAGCUGACGGGGCCUCGGCCACCUCCCCACACCGGCCCACUCACUCUCUCGCACGGUGCGCCUUUGUGGUCUGUAUGACACUUAGCACAACCUGUCCAUUUCUGCAUGAAUCCGCCCUUCUCUCCCGUGAGCCCAAGACAGCAGGCACUGCGUCAGUCUCACCCAUGCUGUAUCUCUGGAGCCUACAAAAUGCCUGAUGCCUCUUUGUCUGCAGAAAUGUUUUUUGAAUAAAUAGAUUAUGCAUGUAGGAAUGAAUGAACAAAGGAAUGAAACCUCAGUUCUUG